AUGGCCCAGAUACAUUGCCUUCCCAUGACAAAGUUAGUUGAUUAAGGAUCACAGUGGAGUUAAAGAUUUGCUCAGAAGCAUCCUCAACCUAAAAGAGCACUACAGCAAACAGAUGUUGUGCUCAUGAUUCCCACAAGAGAACCAUAGAGGAGGGAGAGUGAGGAGAGCAGCCAAAGCCCUGAACUGAGAAGAUAUCUUCUGGUUGGAAUUCUACAUAUUGCACUGUCAAGUCAUAUCAUUUUUUUCCCAGUGAAAACAAAUAUUAAUAACAGAACUUACAGCAAAGAUGGAAUGUUCUGAGACUGUGUCAUCUACUACCAUUGCUGCUCACCAUAUGCAGUUAUUGAGCACCUGAAAUAUGGCUAGUUCAAUCAAGGAGAUUUCCAAGAAGACUGACAUGAGAAAUGUUACUGUGUCUGUCUCAGAAAAGUUCAAGAAAGUAGACAAGAAUGGCCAUCUCAGAAAGUAGAAGACAACAUUCUGACCGUUCUUGGCAUUUAUCUUUCCCAUUUGUUCGUGUACCAAAAUGAAAAUGCUGUUCCAAAAGUGAAACAUACUUUGGAGACACAGUUGAUAUUAAUGAACAUAAACCUAAAAAUGCUGCAGUAGCUUCUGACAGAGAUGUCAUCAACAAAACUUUUAAUGUUUUUGAAAAUGUCAUUUUAAUUGUUUUAGCUCUAUCGAAAAACAAUAAUCACGGUGGGAAAGGUUACCAAAAAGAAACUCCCACUCUCAGUCCUAACACCUGGGUUCUAACUCCAGUUCAAACAUUUAACUAGGUAUAUAUGCAUGAGUAUGGUAUGUAAUUUCUCUCA